GUGCAGAGAAGCGAGCGAGCAGCUGUGUAGCGAUGCCUGUGACCUAACCCGUCUCCCCCGCGAACCCCGCCUCCUCUCCUGCCGCCGCCGCCGCGCCCCCUGCUCCCCUUCUACAUGCUCGCCGCUGCCCCGCCUCGAGCCAGCCGCCGUUCGGUAAAAACCUAACCUCCACACCCACGCCCCCACCAGACCCUCCCUCCUCUUCCUCGACCUCCCUCCUAGCUGCCGCCGCCUCCCCUCCGCGGUCAACCUCCUUGUUGCCGGUGAUGCUCCAGCGCCUUGGCCCGGUCGCCUCUGUCUCCUGCCGUGCUCUCUCGUGCUGCUGUGCCUCCUAGACGACGCUCGCAUGCCUCGGAUGCGCCCCCUUCUAUCCCGAGCUCCAGAUCGAUGGCUGCAGCGGCGAGGUAAGCAGUGCAAAGGCUACCUCCUACUAAAUACCUUUUUUUGUUCAAAUACCAAAACACUUUGUCAGGGUUGUCAAUGGCAAAGAAGCAACCUUGUUAUUUAGUUCAGUCCACCGUAAAGACAGCUCGGGAGACAACCUUCUUCUGAAAUCAUUGAUUUGUUUUUUUAGCCCAACCUCUGAUUGAUCUGGUAUAAUUUAUCAAAUUCCUCCAGAGUACAUUCAGGUUCAAAGCAAAUGUUGUAUAGCUCAGGAUAUUGUUCAGUGAAGGAUUUACCAUCCACAGGCACAUCUUUCCAUACCCCAGCUUUAUCACUUUUUCUGCAAAGAGAUCUCGCGCCCAAUCAAAUAAAGUUCUCUAACCUUCAUAAUUGAUUUCUAGCAAGGGGAAUCAGUGACUCUUGUUUUAGUAGUAUUAAUAGUUUUGUUCUUGAAAUAUUUGGCUCUAACAACUUGUUGCCAUAGCCCCUCUUGAGUCUCAAGUUUCUUGUAGAAGGUCACCACAGGCGCUGGGGUCGACGCAGAGCAUCGACGACGGUGUCAUUGUCCUCGCGUGAUUCAUCAGAUGCAACCUCACCCCCGCGCCGGCUUUUGACGGAGCUGCUCACCAAGGAGGACCUCGUCGCCUACAUCGCAUCUGGGUGUAAGCCCAAGGAGAACUGGAGAUGAAAUUGCAACACCUGGUACCGAGACCAUGCUGGGAUUUUCUGAUCAUGUCAGGAGCUUUGUAAAUCCUGUAUGGACGUCUUCUUUGAGUGGAAAUUAUUCGAAUACAACAUCACGGACAGGAAAACAGUUGGACAUCAGCCAUGAAAAGGUUCGAGGUCUUUCACGGAGUUUCCUACCAGCUAUUCAUCUAGAGCACUAUCCUUGUGAAAAUUUCUCAUUUUCUCCUCCACCUAUUGAUAGGAGACGCACUCGACAAGGGUGUAAGUAGUCUCACCAGUCCAAUUCAGAGUUACAAAAAAGUUCUAAAUCUGAUAAUAUUAUUUUAAACGUGUGUAGCAUGUCCUGAUUGUUAUGUGCCUGUUGACUAGACCCUGGCAUUGAUGCCAGCUGCUAAUCUGUCCGAAGACAAUUACAAUUUGGUACUCAUAGGUCCAAUAGUGGUUCUUUGUUUUGUGGUUAUCCAUCCCUGGAACAACGAGAUAUGUCUUAUAUGACAUAAAAGACUCGAUGACAGUACAUUGUGGAUCUGUGAGGGGGGAAGAUACAUGGUCUCGAUACUGCAUUCGAUGUAGACGAAGCUGGUCUGUCUGAGAUUUGCUUCUGCUAUUUUCGGUUCCAAAACUAUUACUUCAUCGGCUCUUUCCUAAUGUGCGGUAUUCACUCUAGAUCGAUGGGAAACUUAAACUUGUGAAGGAUCCUUAUCAGCUGUUAAAGAGAUUCUUGUGGAGGAAAAAUGUGCGCUUCACUAUUUCCAGGUAUUAUAGACGCUUUGAUGUCUUUGAGGAAGCUGAGGCCAACAAGGCUGGAAGUAUGAUAAUGCUUCAAUCGAUAACCAAAUGAAGUUCUACAAGACAGAGGGUUUAACCCAUUAUUCAUCAGCUAAGCUCCUUAUUACAAGCGGCAAAUGGUUCUUCCUACUGAAUUCUGAUAUAGAAAUAUUUCUCCUGAGAACAUAAGGGAUACAUUUAUCUUGAACAGAUGUCCUUGAGGGUUGUGUAAUUAUAGGAGAGCCCAUACCCAUCACCAAUCUCUUCACACGCCUUUGGUUCAAUGAAGUUGAUCGUCCCACCUCAAGAGAUCAGCUAAGCUUUAGCACAACGAGGGAUAAAAUAAGAUCAAGAGUUCUUUUUGACAACUAAAUAAGAUCAGGAGUUAAUUGGACUGCAGACAUGUUCCUGGAUUGUGGAAGGCGUGAAUUUGUUCAGGUACUUUUGAGUUAAUGCUUUGUGCGGCACAUCAUUCCAUUUGCAACCUGAAGUACUACUGCAACUUGGUACCGAGUGUAGACUUUAUCAAAUUACACAAAAAAAAUCCAGCAUAACAAUGGAUCUUCGCAUCUAAAUAGGGAGCUGUUUGAAAACAACAUCAGUGGAUCGAUGAUUUUUUUGGAAAGAACACAAUGUCAGGAUCUUUGACAGAAUAGAAUUUUACUGGAGUUUGAGGCUAUAUUAUUGAUGAGGUAUCCUGGAGAGCUGCAAGUUGCUUCUCUUGUUUUGAAUCAUGUUCUUGUUGUUUUCUCCCUGCUGAGAGUGUAUUAGUGUACUCAUCAUGAUCUCUGAGGCUAUGCUUACAGUUGCAUCAUUGUUUUCUUGAAAAUUGACCCUCUAAAUUCAUGUUCUCUUAUAACUGAUCCUGUAAAAUCUUCCCUGUAUUUUAAUGAAGUUUCACGUCAUGCCUUUUA